rnacentral:rRNA from 1 species
GAUGAACGCUGGCGGCGUGCUUAACACAUGCAAGUCGAACGGACAUGUCUUUCGGGAUAUGUUAGUGGCAGACGGGUGCGUAACACGUAGGUGACCUGCCCUGGAGUGGGGAAUAACUAUCCUAACGGAUAGCUAAUACCGCAUAUGCUCGGCGAUUCAUUUUGCCGAGUAAAGUCGUAAGGCGCUUCAGGAUGGGCCUGCGGCGGAUUAGGUAGUUGGUGGGGUAAUGGCUCACCGAAGGCGACGAUCCGUAGCUGGUCUGAGAGGAUGACCAGCCACACUGGGACUGAGACACGGCCCAGACUCCUACGGGUGGCAG